rnacentral:misc_RNA from 1 species
ACAAACUUGGUCAUUUAGAGGAAGUAAAAGUCGUAACAAGGUCUCCGUUGGUGAACCAGCGGAGGGAUCAUUACAGAGUUGCAAAACUCCCAAACCAUUUGUGUAUCUACCUGUUUCGUUGCUUCGGCAGGCGGCCCCCCGGGGCCUCAAGCCCCUGGGGUGCCUGCCGGAGUACCUAAAACUCUUGUUUUUAACUGUUCUGUCUGAGUAAAAUCAUAAUUGUCAAAACUUUCAACAACGGAUCUCUUGGUUCUGGCAUCGAUGAAGAACGCAGC